rnacentral:rRNA from 2 species
GGGUUGUGAGGUUAAGCGACUAAGCGUACACGGUGGAUGCCCUGGCAGUCAGAGGCGAUGAAGGGCGUGCUAAUCUGCGAUAAGCGCCGGUAAGGUGAUAUGAACCGUUAUAACCGGCGAUACCCGAAUGGGGAAACCCAGUGUGACUCGUCACACUAUCAUUAACUGAAUCCAUAGGUUAAUGAGGCGAACCGGGGGAACUGAAACAUCUAAGUACCCCGAGGAAAAGAAAUCAACCGAGAUUCCCCCAGUAGCGGCGAGCGAACGGGGAGGAGCCCAGAGCCUGAAUCAGCAUGUGUGUUAGUGGAAGCGUCUGGAAAGGCGCGCGAUACAGGGUGACAGCCCCGUACACAAAAGCGCAUGUGCUGUGAGCUCGAUGAGUAGGGCGGGACACGUGGUAUCCUGUCUGAAUAUGGGGGGACCAUCCUCCAAGGCUAAAUACUCCUGACUGACCGAUAGUGAACCAGUACCGUGAGGGAAAGGCGAAAAGAACCCCGGCGAGGGGAGUGAAAAAGAACCUGAAACCGUGUACGUACAAGCAGUGGGAGCACAGGUUUACCUGUGUGACUGCGUACCUUUUGUAUAAUGGGUCAGCGACUUAUAUUCUGUAGCAAGGUUAACCGUAUAGGGGAGCCGUAGGGAAACCGAGUCUUAACCGGGCGUUAAGUUGCAGGGUAUAGACCCGAAACCCGGUGAUCUAGCCAUGGGCAGGUUGAAGGUUGGGUAACACUAACUGGAGGACCGAACCGACUAAUGUUGAAAAAUUAGCGGAUGACCUGUGGCUGGGGGUGAAAGGCCAAUCAAACCGGGAGAUAGCUGGUUCUCCCCGAAAGCUAUUUAGGUAGCGCCUCGUGAAUUCAUCUCCGGGGGUAGAGCACUGUUUCGGCUAGGGGGCCAUCCCGGCUUACCAACCCGAUGCAAACUGCGAAUACCGGAGAAUGUUAUCACGGGAGACACACGGCGGGUGCUAACGUCCGUCGUGAAGAGGGAAACAACCCAGACCGCCAGCUAAGGUCCCAAAGUCAUGGUUAAGUGGGAAACGAUGUGGGAAGGCCCAGACAGCCAGGAUGUUGGCUUAGAAGCAGCCAUCAUUUAAAGAAAGCGUAAUAGCUCACUGGUCGAGUCGGCCUGCGCGGAAGAUGUAACGGGGCUAAACCAUGCACCGAAGCUGCGGCAGCGACGCUGAUGCGUUGUUGGGUAGGGGAGCGUUCUGUAAGCCUGUGAAGGUGGCCUGUGAGGGUUGCUGGAGGUAUCAGAAGUGCGAAUGCUGACAUAAGUAACGAUAAAGCGGGUGAAAAGCCCGCUCGCCGGAAGACCAAGGGUUCCUGUCCAACGUUAAUCGGGGCAGGGUGAGUCGACCCCUAAGGCGAGGCCGAAAGGCGUAGUCGAUGGGAAACGGGUUAAUAUUCCCGUACUUGGUGUUACUGCGAAGGGGGGACGGAGAAGGCUAUGUUGGCCGGGCGACGGUUGUCCCGGUUUAAGCGUGUAGGUGUGUGUUCCAGGUAAAUCCGGUUCACUUUAACACUGAGGCGUGAUGACGAGGCACUACGGUGCUGAAGCAACAAAUGCCCUGCUUCCAGGAAAAGCCUCUAAGCAUCAGGUAACAUCAAAUCGUACCCCAAACCGACACAGGUGGUCAGGUAGAGAAUACCAAGGCGCUUGAGAGAACUCGGGUGAAGGAACUAGGCAAAAUGGUGCCGUAACUUCGGGAGAAGGCACGCUGACACGUAGGUGAAGUGAUUUACUCAUGGAGCUGAAGUCAGUCGAAGAUACCAGCUGGCUGCAACUGUUUAUUAAAAACACAGCACUGUGCAAACACGAAAGUGGACGUAUACGGUGUGACGCCUGCCCGGUGCCGGAAGGUUAAUUGAUGGGGUCAGCGCAAGCGAAGCUCCUGAUCGAAGCCCCGGUAAACGGCGGCCGUAACUAUAACGGUCCUAAGGUAGCGAAAUUCCUUGUCGGGUAAGUUCCGACCUGCACGAAUGGCGUAAUGAUGGCCAGGCUGUCUCCACCCGAGACUCAGUGAAAUUGAACUCGCUGUGAAGAUGCAGUGUACCCGCGGCAAGACGGAAAGACCCCGUGAACCUUUACUAUAGCUUGACACUGAACAUUGAGCCUUGAUGUGUAGGAUAGGUGGGAGGCUUUGAAGCGUGGACGCCAGUCUGCAUGGAGCCGGCCUUGAAAUACCACCCUUUAAUGUUUGAUGUUCUAACGUGGACCCGUGAUCCGGGUUGCGGACAGUGUCUGGUGGGUAGUUUGACUGGGGCGGUCUCCUCCUAAAGAGUAACGGAGGAGCACGAAGGUUGGCUAAUCCUGGUCGGACAUCAGGAGGUUAGUGCAAUGGCAUAAGCCAGCUUGACUGCGAGCGUGACGGCGCGAGCAGGUGCGAAAGCAGGUCAUAGUGAUCCGGUGGUUCUGAAUGGAAGGGCCAUCGCUCAACGGAUAAAAGGUACUCCGGGGAUAACAGGCUGAUACCGCCCAAGAGUUCAUAUCGACGGCGGUGUUUGGCACCUCGAUGUCGGCUCAUCACAUCCUGGGGCUGAAGUAGGUCCCAAGGGUAUGGCUGUUCGCCAUUUAAAGUGGUACGCGAGCUGGGUUUAGAACGUCGUGAGACAGUUCGGUCCCUAUCUGCCGUGGGCGCUGGAGAACUGAGGGGGGCUGCUCCUAGUACGAGAGGACCGGAGUGGACGCAUCACUGGUGUUCGGGUUGUCAUGCCAAUGGCACUGCCCGGUAGCUAAAUGCGGAAGAGAUAAGUGCUGAAAGCAUCUAAGCACGAAACUUGCCCCGAGAUGAGUUCUCCCUGAGACUUAGAGUCUCCUGAAGGAACGUUGAAGACGACGACGUUGAUAGGCCGGGUGUGUAAGCGCAGCGAUGCGUUGAGCCAACCGGUACUAAUGAACCGUGAGGCUUAACCUUACAACGCCGAAG